UGCAAGUCGAACGCACCUUUCGGGGUGAGUGGCAGACGGGUGAGUAACGCGUGGGAAUCUACCCUUCUCUACGGGAUAGCUCCGGGAAACUGGAAUUAAUACCGUAUACGUCCUGAGGGAGAAAGAUUUAUCGGGGAAGGAUGAGCCCGCGUUGGAUUAGCUAGUUGGUGGGGUAAAGGCCUACCAAGGCGACGAUCCAUAGCUGGUCUAAGAGGAUGAUCAGCCACAUUGGGACUGAGACACGGCCCAAACUCCUACGGGAGGCAGCAGUGGGGAAUAUUGGACGAUGGGCGCAAGCCUGAUCCAGCCAUGCCGCGUGAGUGAUGAAGGCCCUAGGGUUGUAAAGCUCUUUCAGUGGGGACGAUAAUGACGGUACCCACAGAAGAAGCCCCGGCUAACUUCGUGCCAGCAGCCGCGGUAAUACGAAGGGGGCUAGCGUUGUUCGGAAUUACUGGGCGUAAAGCGCACGUAGGCGGAUAUUUAAGUCAGGGGUGAAAUCCCGGGGCUCAACCCCGGAACUGCCUUUGAUACUGGGUAUCUUGAGUUCGGAAGAGGUAAGUGGAAUUGCGAGUGUAGAGGUGAAAUUCGUAGAUAUUCGCAGGAACACCAGUGGCGAAGGCGGCUUACUGGUCCGAUACUGACGCUGAGGUGCGAAAGCGUGGGGAGCAAACA
rnacentral:rRNA from 2 species